CGCCUGUUUAACAAAAACAUGUCCUUUUGAGUAUAUUUAAGGUCUGACCUGCCCGGUGAUUUAUUUUAACGGCCGCGGUAUAUUGACCGUGCAAAGGUAGCAUAAUCAUUAGUCUUUUAAAAGAGGGCUGGAAUGAAAGGUUUGACGAGGUAUUGACUGUCUCAUUUUAUUUGGAUUUAGAAUUUAACUUUUUAGUCAAAAGGCUUAAAUUUAAUUGGAAGACGAGAAGACCCUAUAGAGCUUUAUAUUAAUUAUUUUAAUUAUGAAUAUAUAAUUUUUAAUUAGAUGAAUUAUUAUUUUGUUGGGGUGACAGAAAAAUAGAACUAACUUUUUUAUUUAUUUAACAUUAAUUUAUGGUUAUUUGAUCCAUUAUAUUGAUUGAUAGAUUAAGUUACCUUAGGGAUAACAGCG
rnacentral:rRNA from 1 species